UACAGGGGGUGCAAACGUUGCUCGGAAUUAUUGGGCGUAAAGCGCGCGUAGGCGGCUACUUAAGUCGGAUGUGAAAGCCCUUGGCUCAACUGAGGAAGUGCACCCGAAACUGAGUGGCUUGAGUACUAAAGAGGGUCGCGGAAUUCCCGGUGUAGAGGUGAAAUUCGUAGAUAUCAGGAAGAACACCUAUGGCGAAGGCAGCUCUCUGGGACGGUACUGACGCUGAGACGCGAAAGCGUGGGGAGCGAACAGG
rnacentral:rRNA from 1 species